rnacentral:misc_RNA from 1 species
UCUCGGUCACGGAUUUGGAUCACAUUUCUAUGGUGGUAUUUCUCCAGUUGCCCCAGGUAUUCUGUAUCUACGAGUGUACAGAUCCAUCAGAGAUAUCAUGUUCUUGAGAGAAGAGAUUGUUUCACUUUUGAUGCAAUCUAUAAGUGAUAUAGCACGCAGCGAGCUUCCAAGACAACGGUUGAACAAACUGAAGAUACUCAAAAAUGGAAAGAAAUUUGGAAAUGUAUCGCUUGCUGCAACAAUGACAAGGGUGAAACUAGCUGCCUUGCUUGGUGCUUCUUUAUUAUGGUUAUCUGGUGGAUCAGGGCUGGUGCAGUCAUUAAUAAAAGAGACUCUUCCCUCUUGGUUCUUAUCUGUCAAUAGCUCUAAUCAAGAAGGUGACAAGGGUGAUCUAGUUCCAAUGCUCAAAGGGUAUGCACUGGCAUACUUUGCAGUACUGUGUGGGGCUUUUGCGAGUGGUGUGGACUCGUUGUCCAUGGCAUCAAAGCGACGUCCGAAAAUCAUUGGGCGUCAUGUUGAAUUCAUAGCCAGCGUCCUGGAUGGCAAAAUAUCACUUGGUUGUGAUCCGUCUACUUGGCACGCCUAUGUGUCGGGAUUCGUGAGUCUGAUGGUAGGUUGUACACCAACUUGGGUGUAUGAAGUGGAUGCCGAGUUGUUAAAGAGGCUCAG